AAGCAGUUGAUCCCAGGGAACCAAGAAAUGGACCCAACCCAUGUCGUGGACCUUAUGGGAAAGUCUGGAAACCAUCUUCUUGGCCACAACCUAGGGAAAACAUGGUCCAGUGAAGCCCAAGAAAGCACUAGAACCACAAAGUAGAAGCUUCUGGAGAUGUCUGUGAAAGGAGCUUCUGCAUAAAGUUAUGGCCAAAAGUCAGCAGCAAAACCUAAGAGAACAAAAAGGACUCAACAUUGUAAAGUAGUGAAGAUUGAGAAGAGAUAGACUUGAAUAUUUAGAAGAUAUUUUUAACAAACAAAAACAGGCAAUGAAACAUCUCAAGCUCAAAUAAGAGGAUAACAUUUUUCACAAUCCACGAACUGAAUUACUCAAGCUUUGAUAUAGAAUCCUGAUAUC